UGGGGAAUAUUGGACAAUGGGGGCAACCCUGAUCCAGCAAUGCCGCGUGUGUGAAGAAGGUCUUCGGAUUGUAAAGCACUUUCGACGGGGACGAUGAUGACGGUACCCGUAGAAGAAGCCCCGGCUAACUUCGUGCCAGCAGCCGCGGUAAUACGAAGGGGGCUAGCGUUGCUCGGAAUGACUGGGCGUAAAGGGCGUGUAGGCGGUUUACACAGUCAGAUGUGAAAUCCCCGGGCUUAACCUGGGAGCUGCAUUUGAUACGUGUAGACUAGAGUGUGAGAGAGGGUUGUGGAAUUCCCAGUGUAGAGGUGAAAUUCGUAGAUAUUGGGAAGAACACCGGUGGCGAAGGCGGCAACCUGGCUCAUUACUGACGCUGAGGCGCGAAAGCGUGGGGAGCAAACAGGAUUAGAUACCCUGGUAGUCCACGCUGUAA
rnacentral:rRNA from 1 species